rnacentral:rRNA from 1 species
AGGAUGAACGCUGGCGGUCUGCUUAACACAUGCAAGUCGAACGGAGUAGCAAUACUUAGUGGCGGACGGGUGAGUAACGCGUGAGAAUCUACCUUCAGGACGGAGACAACAGUUGGAAACGACUGCUAACCCCCGAUGUACUGAAAAGGCAAAUAUUUAUAGCCUGAAGAAGAGCUCGCGUCCGAUUAGCUAGUUGGAGAGGUAAAAGCUCACCAAGGCGACGAUCGGUAGCUGGUCUGAGAGGACGAUCAGCCACACUGGGACUGAGACACGGCCCAGACUCCUACGGGAGGCAGCAGUGGGGAAUUUCCGCAAUGGGCGAAAGCCUGACGGAGCAAGACCGCGUGGGGGAAGAAGGCUCUUGGGUUGUAAACCCCUUUUCUCUGGGAAGAACACAAUGACGGUACCAGAGGAAUCAGCACCGGCUAACUCCGCGCCAGCAGCCGC